CAGGAGUUAAUGUGGGAUUUCUAAGCAGGAAGACUGGAAGAAUCCUAGUAGAUCAGUCAGCGGAGCAGAGUGUUGUGAACCUCAGUGCAAAGACCCACAAGCUGCAAAUCUAUAGCAAAAGGAAGACUGCAAAGAAUCAUGUCAGCAAAUAAGUGGAGGAGGAAGGGCAAAAGAGAAAGUGGGGUGAAAGCCAAAAAUAAACAGCCCUCAGAACAGCCUUCUCCACAUCUUCCUGCUAAUGGCGUCUCUGAAGAAGACUGCUUGUUCCCCUUCAGACAAGCUUUCAGAGGUUAUUUUAAUCCAUUUUUAGUUGCAAAUAGCAUUUAUCAGAAUAAGUGUGGGCUGGUUGCCAGCUCCUUCAGAUCUUUGACAGCCUGGAGGGAUGCAUUGGCUGUUGAGCAGGACAGUCUUUAAACAGUGGAAAGAGUAGGGGAUGACUCACUGCUGCAGCAAGCUGAGGAUGCUUCUGCUCACUGCACUGCCUCCAGACUAAUUAAUUUAUCAUGAAAGUGGAGGAGUUUUGCUGAAUGUCGCCAUGCUCGUUUUCCCUGCCUGGGCUUCCCCCCUUAUUUCUAGGUGGAUCUUUAAUGGAAAAAUUGGGUCUGCCAUCUGUGAGUGCACCCAUCUCUCUGAUGACGCUGCAGGCCUAAAUGGGAAACCCCAGCAGCAUUUUUGCUUGCAUGACUCCAGGCCCUGCACCACGAGAGCGUGCCCAGGACACGUCAGAGACCACUCUGCUGAGACUGGGGAUAGCACCUGAAGGCCUGUGGAGAGGGCAGCUGCUCCUGGCUCGCUGCCCCACAUUCUUGGCUGCUUCCUGCCUUGGUGCCUUACUUGUUGUGCCAGCUGGAGCCUUGGGAGAGCUGCUGCUGAUUUAAUGGCUCAAUAAAUUCCCCAGUGCAAAUACGGAUGAAAGCA
rnacentral:lncRNA from 1 species